UUUAUGUGUUAACUCUUUAUUAACACUUACAUACUGAUCAUAUUUUAUUCACUCAUUCAACAAAUAGACUCAUUAUCAUUGUUUUUAUAUAUAUAUAUAUAAAAAGUCUUAUUUACAGAGAUAUACUAAUAGUUUUCAUAAAAAAAAAACAGUGGCACACAUGAACUGAGAAAAACCCCACAAACACCAAGAGGCUGUUUCAAGAAGGCCACAGAGAGAAGAGUACAGAAGUGGAGCAGUUCAGUGAUGUAGGUGGAGGCGUCACACCAUCAGGCAAUGAAAAUAUGAACCAUGAUUUGAACCUGAAACAAUGCAGAAGCUCUAACAGUGGAGAGAUGUUUGGAGUUAAAGCUUUGGUCAGACCAGAGAUCAGAGCAUCAGUUCAUCACACUGCUGAUUAAAGAAAGGUUGAAGCUUCUCAGAGAGAUCAGAGAGAGAGAAAUACCUGUCUAUAUAUAAUAACUGUCUAUAACAGUUUGUACAAUCUGAUUGGGUAAGAUUGAUUUCCAAACUAAAACAGCCAAAGAGAAGAUUUUUAUACAAACUGUUUUCCAGUGGGCGGUACUUAAGGAGGAAAAAGUCACAUGAAUCACACCAAUAUAGAAGAGUUCAUUUGCUGAACCUGAAGCUCCAACACAAAAACACUCACUGACUCUAUACUUUAUACCUUUGAGCCUUCUGACUUGCCUCGCAUUGCCCGGCUCAUAGCUUAUAUACUACAUACAGCUUUCAAAACCCUUCCAAACUGCUUGGCUUGCGACGUUUUAUUAGUGUGAAUGCUUGAAAAGCAUUCACAGUAUUGUUAUUCGAAUCUUUAUUAUUAGUGUGAAUGCUUGAAAAGCAUUCACAGUAUUGUUCUUCAAAUCUUUAUUAUUAUUCCAUAUUCCGUACGUUUUUUGGCAUCUAACUCCUUCAAAACCGUUCAACUUAGAAAAACCAUUCAAACAUCGUUAGAUUCCUAUUAUUUUGGACAUGACUGCUUCUAUUUUUCUCAUUUUUAACAUUUAUAUUUUUAAUUUUAUUCAACUUUAUUCAACAAAAAUUUCCCAUGUAUUUCAAUGGGGAAACCCUUCAAAUUCUCAUUCAACUUACUCAUUUUUAAACUCUUACUACUUCCACAUACAUUGACAUAGAGCCACCAUUCAAACUUUAAAACGAAGACAAGACAUUCAACUAUUCAACUUGUAUUUAUCUUUUCAAUAUCUAUUAUACUUUUUCUUCAGUUCCAGUUUAAGUUUCAUGAUGUUUUUUCACCCGUUUCAAAAUUUAUAAUGGGUGUGUAUGGGACGGAAUGUUGGGGCUAGAGUGAGGCAGCUCAACUGCUAGAGUGAGAGGAGCAAAAAAAUUAAUCUUAAAAUCUUUUUUAAAACUGCUGCUGUGUCUGCAGCGUUUGCUCUACAGGUAUGAUUUUACCCUCAAAACGUAGCCAUCGCUGUCCUCUUUCAUCCAAUGUGUUUACUAUUGUCCUAGGUGUUAUGGUUCUUUCGUAAAUGUCACCAAUGCACAGCCUCCUCCCUCCAACUCUUCCAUAGACUCUAAUGUUAAAAUGGCUCAGAAGGUUCGUUUGAAAAUCAGAAGAGCAUGGUGUCUUUCCACUGUCACCACGUCCAUAUAAUAAACUCCACAGGCAUGAAAACUGAGAAUUCAGUAGACUAGACAUUGCUGUCACUCACGGUGAAAGAAUUUUGUCAAUACGACCUAUACUUUUCAUUUGGGAACGAUUUGUUUGGGCCUGACUUUUCUGUUCAUUUUAAGCAGCAAAAGUGAGGCGCAUGUCUGUGUCCGUGUGUAUGGAGCCAUUGGGUGCGGUCACUAUAGCAACCAGGCUCACACCUGCCUGCUUAACGAGCUCUGCCUGCCACUGUACCAAGAUUCAUCUUAAGCACUUCUCUUUCAACUGCUGCUGUGUCCACAGUGUUACAGCCAUCAUUUUACCCUCAAAUUGUCGCCAUUAUUGUUCUCUUUCCAACACCGUGUCUUUCAAAGCUCAGGCAUUUAAACUUUUUAAACUGUGUGGAUCAAAGUGGAGGGAUCACAUUUGAGUCAUUCAGUGAUUCAAAGAAUAUGACCUUUUAAUAUUCAUUCAGAUGUUUUCUGACUCUAAAUGUUCUUUUCUCAUUUCUUAGGGUUUUCUAAUUUACAUUUAAAACAUUUUCAGCUUUUUUCCAACUCCUUCUUCUGUGUAACCUUCAGCUUUUAGCAGUUCAGCACCUUUGUUUUCAGGUUAAAUUCGUUAAAUUUGUUUUUUGUUUUUUUUUAUCUCAUUCAAGAUUUUUAACUUAAAUUCAGUAAUUAAUUCAUUUCAGUGCAUACAUUCAGAUUCAAGCAUUCACACUGCAGUUUCUUCAGAAAAUGCACUUUCUAGUUUUCCAUUGUUGUCUGUUUUUGUACAGAACAACAACAACAACAAGAACAAUUACCAGACAAACUAUCA
ensembl:lncRNA